CCCGACUGCGCCAGAAGGAGGGUUAUGUUUUUUUCGAGUGUAUGUAUGUAUGUAUGUAUGUAUGUAUGUAUGUAUGUAUGUAUGUAUGUAUGUAUAAUUGUUUGGCACGCUCUGCAGCCUAAACGGCUUGAUGGAUUUUGACUUGAGAGGUGUCGUUAGAUUCGUAUUUACUGUGAGAGUGA